GAAGUUGGAUUCGCUAGUAAUCGCGCAUCAGCCAUGGCGCGGUGAAUACGUUCCCGGGCCUUGUACACACCGCCCGUCAAGCCAUGGGAGCCGGGGGGCGCCUGAAGUCCGGGACCGCGAGGACCGGCCUAGGGCGAAACUGGUAACUGGGGCUAAGUCGUAACAAGGUAAC
rnacentral:rRNA from 1 species